rnacentral:pre_miRNA from 1 species
UGCAGAAGGAAUUUCGAUAGUUAACUGCAGUCGGUUCUAAACUUCGGUAGUUAACUGCCGCAGGAGCAU